rnacentral:rRNA from 1 species
GAUGAACGCUGGCGGCGUGCCUAAUACAUGCAAGUCGAACGCACAGCGAAAGGUGCUUGCACCUUUCAAGUGAGUGGCGAACGGGUGAGUAACACGUGGACAACCUGCCUCAAGGCUGGGGAUAACAUUUGGAAACAGAUGCUAAUACCGAAUAAAACUUAGUGUCGCAUGACAAAAAGUUAAAAGGCGCUUCGGCGUCACCUAGAGAUGGAUCCGCGGUGCAUUAGUUAGUUGGUGGGGUAAAGGCCUACCAAGACAAUGAUGCAUAGCCGAGUUGAGAGACUGAUCGGCCACAUUGGGACUGAGACACGGCCCAAACUCCUACGGGAGGCUGCAGUAGGGAAUCUUCCACAAUGGGCGAAAGCUUGAUGGAGCAACGCCGCGUGUGUGAUGAAGGCUUUCGGGUCGUAAAGCACUGUUGUAUGGGAAGAACAGUUAGAAUAGGAAAUGAUUUUAGUUUGACGGUACCAUACCAGAAAGGGACGGCUAAAUACGUGCCAGCAGCCGCCGUAA